UUUUUUUUUUUGAGAUGGAGUCUCGCUCUUGUUGCCCAGGCUGGAAUGCAAUGGCACAAUCUUGGCUCACCACAACCUCCACCUCCCAGGUUCAAGGGAUUCUCCUGCCUCAGCCUCCCGAAUAGCUGGGAUUACAGGCAUGCACCACCACACCCGGCUAAUUUUGUAUUUUUAGUAGAGACAGUUUCUCCGUAUUGGUCAGGCUGGUCUCGAACUCCUGACCUCAGGUGAUUCACCCGCCUCGGCUUCCCAAAGUGCUGGGAUUACAGAGGUAAGCCACUGCACCCAGCCGUAUUACUCUUUUAAGAAAUUACAGACUUUGGAUAUUCCA
rnacentral:lncRNA from 1 species